rnacentral:rRNA from 1 species
GUGCCAGCCGCCGCGGUAAUACCGGCAGCCCAAGUGAUGGCCGAUCUUAUUGGGCCUAAAGCGUCCGUAGCUGGCCGCGCAAGUCCACCGGGAAAUCCACCUGCUCAACAGGUGGGCGCCCGGUAGAAACUGCGUGGCUUGGGACCGGAAGGCGCGACGGGUACGUCCGGGGUAGGAGUGAAAUCCCGUAAUCCUGGACGGACCGCCGAUGGCGAAAGCACGUCGCGAGAACGGAUCCGACAGUGAGGGACGAAAGCCAGGGUCUCGAACCGGAUUAGAAACCCGAGUAGUCC